UGGCAGAGGUUACUGCUAUCGGUGUUCGCCUAAGCCAUGCGAGUCAUAUGUAGCAAUACAUGGCGUACUGCUCAGUAACACGUGGAUAACCUGCCCUUGGGACCGGCAUAACCCCGGGAAACUGGGGAUAAUUCCGGAUAACGCAUAUUUGCUGGAAUGCUUUAUGCGUCAAAAGGAUUCGUCUGCCCAAGGAUGGGUCUGCGGCCUAUCAGGUAGUAGUGGGUGUAAUGUACCUACUAGCCAGCGACGGGUACGGGUUGUGAGAGCAAGAGCCCGGAGAUGGAUUCUGAGACAUGAAUCCAGGCCCUACGGGGCGCAGCAGGCGCGAAAACUUUACAAUGCGGGAAACCGUGAUAAGGGGACACCGAGUGCCAGCAUCAUAUGCUGGCUGUCCGGAUGUGUAAAAUACAUCCGUUAGCAAGGGCCGGGCAAGACCGGUGCCAGCCGCCGCGGUAACACCGGCGGCCCGAGUGGUGAUCGUGAUUAUUGGGUCUAAAGGGUCCGUAGCCGGUUUGGUCAGUCCUCCGGGAAAUCUGAUAGCUCAACUAUUAGGCUUUCGGGGGAUACUGCCAGACUUGGAACCGGGAGAGGUAAGAGGUACUACAGGGGUAGGAGUGAAAUCUUGUAAUCCCUGUGGGACCACCUGUGGCGAAGGCGUCUUACCAGAACGGGUUCGACGGUGAGGGACGAAAGCUGGGGGCACGAACCGGAUUAGAUACCCGGGUAGUCCCAGCCGUAAACGAUGCUCGCUAGGUGUCAGGCAUGGCGCGACCGUGUCUGGUGCCGCAGGGAAGCCGUGAAGCGAGCCACCUGGGAAGUACGGCCGCAAGGCUGAAACUUAA
rnacentral:rRNA from 1 species